rnacentral:tRNA from 1 species
CAGGGAGGCAACAACUGAUCGUGAUGUCUAAGUUAUUUAUUCUUAGGCCAUGAUCCUGUCACCUUAGGUCGAUCGGUACCUCAGAUUAAGAAACAAAAUAAGGACUAAAUUAUUAGUUUUUGUUUUGGGAUUUAAUUUCAGUUCCUAAACUUUGUCUAGGUCACACCCCGCAAGGGUUACUCCUGGGCCAUUAGCUCAGGUGGUUAGAGCGCACCCCUGAUAAGGGUGAGGUCCCUGGUUCAAGUCCAGGAUGGUCCAUUCGGUGUUGGGGGUUUAGCUCAGUUGGUAGAGCGCCUGCUUUGCAAGCAGGAUGUCAGCGGUUCGAGUCCGCUAACCUCCACUGGCCAACCUUCUUCAACGCCAAAAGUUGAGGAGCAAUUGUGCGAUGUGACUUGGAUUUAGUCCGCUGAAGGAACCUAGCUUCUUUUCAUACCAGAAUUAUUUUUUAGUUCAGGCUGAAAGGAUGCUGGGCUCAUUGAGAUUAAAAGAAUCUCAAAGAAGUUCAGCAGAACCUUGACAACUGCAUAGGUGAGUCUGGAAAGAAUAAAAGCAUCUCAUGGAUAUGUUUUCUUUUCUACUUAAAGUAAGUAUGAAAGGAAUAACUUAAAGAUUCUUGAGUAAGAGCUGAGUUCUUAUAGUGUCUUUUUUUGCUUUAAAGGCUAAAAGAGUUUGAUUAAUUGUUUAUUUAUUAUUGAAUUUAUCUCAAUAUUGUUUAAACAAUUAAGAAUGCGUAUCAACAACGUUUAGCGCUAUAAGUUUUAU